rnacentral:rRNA from 1 species
GUCAGGUGGGCAGUUUGACUGGGGCGGUGGCCUCCCAAACGGUAACGGAGGGGCUCAAGGGUGCUCUCAGUACGGUAGGAAAUCGUACGUAGAGUGUAAAGGCAAAAGAGAGCUGGAUUGAAAGACAGACAGGUCGAGCAAGGAUGAAAAUCGGACUUAGUGAUCCGGUGGUUCUGCGUGGAAGGGCCAUCGCUCAACGGAUAAAAGCUACCCUGGGGAUAACAGGCUUAUCUCCCCCAAGAGUCCACAUCGACG